GCCUUCGUGGUGUAGUGGUCAGCACGUUCGACGCAUAUUCGAGAGGUCCGUGGUUCGAGUCCCGGCGAGGGCA
rnacentral:tRNA from 1 species